rnacentral:rRNA from 1 species
CUACGGGGCGCUGCAGUGGGGAAUUUUGCGCAAUGGGGGAAACCCUGACGCAGCAACGCCGCGUGAAGGAUGAAGGCCUUUGGGUCGUAAACUUCUGUCAGAGGGGAAGAAAUGCCCGCAAGGGAGCUGACGGUACCCUCAAAGGAAGCACCGGCUAACUCCGUGCCAGCAGCCGCGGUAAUACGGAGGGUGCAAGCGUUGGUCGGAAUUAUUGGGCGUAAAGAGCAUGUAGGCGGACUGUUAAGUCUGGUGUGAAAGCCCGGGGCUCAACCCCGGAAGUGCAUUGGAUACUGGCAGUCUUGAGUAUGGGAGAGGAAAGUGGAAUUCCGAGUGUAGGAGUGAAAUCCGUAGAUAUUCGGAGGAACACCAGUGGCGAAGGCGGCUUUCUGGACCAAUACUGACGCUGAGAUGCGAAAGCGUGGGGAGCAAACAGGAUUAGAUACCCGAGUAGUC